CAGGCCUAACACAUGCAAGUCGAACGAGUGCCUUCGGGUGCUAGUGGCGCACGGGUGCGUAACGCGUGGGAACCUGCCCUUUGGUUCGGAAUAACUCAGGGAAACUUGAGCUAAUACCGGAUGAUGACUUCGGUCCAAAGAUUUAUCGCCAAGGGAUGGGCCCGCGUAGGAUUAGCUAGUUGGUGGGGUAAUGGCCUACCAAGGCGACGAUCCUUAGCUGGUCUGAGAGGAUGAUCAGCCACACUGGGACUGAGACACGGCCCAGACUCCUACGGGAGGCAGCAGUGGGGAAUAUUGGACAAUGGGCGCAAGCCUGAUCCAGCAAUGCCGCGUGAGUGAUGAAGGCCUUCGGGUUGUAAAGCUCUUUUACCCGGGAUGAUAAUGACAGUACCGGGAGAAUAAGCUCCGGCUAACUCCGUGCCAGCAGCCGCGGUAAU
rnacentral:rRNA from 1 species